GAUGAACGCUGGCGGCGUGCCUAAUACAUGCAAGUCGAGCGAACGGACGCGAAGCUUGCUUUUCUGAUGUUAGCGGCAGACGGGUGAGUAACACGUGGAUAACCUCCCUAUAAGACUGGGAUAACUUCGGGAAACCGGAGCUAAUACCGGAUAAUAUUUUGAACCGCAUUGGUCAAAAGUGAAAGACGGUCUUGCUGUCACGUAUAGAUGGAUCCCGGCUGCAUUAGCUAGUUGGUAAGGUAACGGCUUACCAAGGCAACGAUGCAUAGCCGACCUGAGGGGGUGAUCGGCCACCCUGGAGCUGGGACACCGUCCAUGCGCCUGCGGGACGCACCAGAAGGCAACGUUCCGCAACGGUCGAGAGUCUUGCGGAGCGGCGCGAAGUGAGUGACGAAGGCCUUCGGAUCGUAAUACUCUGUUAUUAGGUAAGAACCUAUGUGUACGUAACUGAGCCCAUCGUGACGGUACUUAAUCAGAAAGCCACGGCUAACUACGUG
rnacentral:rRNA from 1 species